CAGUCGCCACGGUAAUACGGAGGGUGCAAGCGUUAAUCGGAAUUACUGGGCGUAAAGCGCACGCAGGCGGUCUGACAAGUCAGAUGUGAAAUCCCCGGGCUUAACCUGGGAACUGCAUUUGAAACUGUCAGGCUGGAGUCUUGUAGAGGGGGGUGGAAUUCCAGGUGUAGCGGUGAAAUGCGUAGAGAUCUGGAGGAAUACCGGUGGCGAAGGCGGCCCCCUGGACAAAGACUGACGCUCAGGUGCGAAAGCGUGGGGAGCAAACAGGAUUAGAUACCCGUGUAGUCCAUGUCUCUUAUAC
rnacentral:rRNA from 1 species